UAGGGAAUCUUCCACAAUGGGCGCAAGCCUGAUGGAGCAACACCGCGUGAGUGAAGAAGGGUUUCGGCUCGUAAAGCUCUGUUGUUAAAGAAGAACACGUAUGAGAGCAACUGUUCAUACGUUGACGGUAUUUAACCAGAAAGUCACGGCUAACUACGUGCCAGCAGCCGCGGUAAUACGUAGGUGGCAAGCGUUAUCCGGAUUUAUUGGGCGUAAAGAGAGUGCAGGCGGUUUUCUAAGUCUGAUGUGAAAGCCUUCGGCUUAACCGGAGAAGUGCAUCGGAAACUGGAUAACUUGAGUGCAGAAGAGGAGAGUGGAACUCCAUGUGUAGCGGUGAAAUGCGUAGAUAUAUGGAAGAACACCAGUGGCGAAAGCGGCUCUCUGGUCUGUAACUGACGCUGAGGUUCGAAAGCGUGGGUAGCAAACAGGAUUAGAUACCCUGGUAGUCCACGCCGUAAACGAUGAAUGCUAGGUGUUGGAGGGUUUCCGCCCUUCAGUGCCGCAGCUAACGCAAUAAGCAUUCCGCCUGGGGAGUACGACCGCAAGGUUG
rnacentral:rRNA from 1 species